CGGCCAAGGGGCCCAAGCCGGAGAAGCCCCCGACCAAGGGCCACGGCCACAAGCCGGAGAAGCCGCCCAAGGAGCACAAGCCGACUCCGCCCACCUACACCCCGAGCCCCAAGCCCACGCCGCCGCCGGCUACUCCCAAGCCGACGCCGCCCACCUACACGCCGAGCCCUAAGCCCAAGUCGCCGGUCUACCCUCCCCCGCCGAAAGCCAGUACUCCUCCGACCUACACCCCGAGCCCCAAGCCUCCGGCGACCAAGCCGCCUACCUACCCGACCCCCAAGCCACCAGCUACCAAGCCUCCGACACCUCCUGUGUACACUCCGAGCCCCAAACCACCGGUUACAAAGCCUCCUACACCCAAGCCGACCCCGCCGGUGUACACGCCGAACCCCAAGCCACCGGUUACCAAGCCUCCGACACACACGCCGAGCCCCAAGCCUCCGACAUCCAAGCCGACUCCGCCGGUGUACACACCGAGCCCCAAGCCACCGAAGCCGUCCCCGCCGACGUACACGCCGACCCCGAAGCCACCGGCUACCAAGCCGCCCACCUCAACUCCGACGCACCCUAAGCCGACGCCGCACACGCCUAUCCCCAAGCCCACGCCGCCAACCUACAAGCCGGCACCGAAGCCGACGCCGCCGGCGCCCACCCCGCCGACAUACACGCCGCCGGUGUCGCACACCCCCAGCUCGCCGCCGCCGCCGCCGCCGCCGCCUUACUACUAGAC
rnacentral:lncRNA from 1 species